rnacentral:piRNA from 1 species
UGAAAUGGCUAUGAUAAGGGACUGAUGACA